GGCUGUGAUGGCUAUGAUAGCUGUGAUGAGUUAAAAGCAUGAACACCUGGAAGGCCGGGGAGGAGGGGAGGUGAGCAGGAAACAGGAUGCCUGCUGAGUCAUCGGGACUUAGAAGAUGAAGGCUUGGAAUGCCCAGGGAUGAUUUAAUCUAGAAAACAGAAGAUGACUUUUGUUACAGGAAGCACAGUUCCCUUUUCAGCAUUUUCUUGGCAUGGUUUAGAAGAGUUCAGCUGCAGGAUCCCCACCCAUGGCUGGCUAGUGACCUUGUGCUGCUGCAGAGCUUCCAGUCCUUCAUCUGCUCAACAAAAGAACAAUUCUGGAAACUUCCCUGGAUUGCUCCAGUUUGAUGUGAGCUGGAUACGUGAUCAGGGAGGUUCAUCUGGCUCUUUGCAGGGGUUUGGGGAGUAGAGGCAUUUGAGAUAGGGGAGCCCACCAGUGUGGUGGGACUAGUAGUCCAUCCACUACCCAGCAGCUCCUCAGGUUUUAUGAAUCUACAA